AUUGAACGCUGGCGGCAGGCCUAACACAUGCAAGUCGUACGAGUGGCGGACGGGUGAGUAAUGUCUGGGAAACUGCCCGAUGGAGGGGGAUAAAUACUGGAAACGGUAGAUAAUACCGCAUACCAUCGGAUGUGCCCAUAUGGGAUUAGCUAGUAGGUGGGGUAACGGCUCGACUAGGUGACGAUCCCUAGCUGGUCUGAGAGGAUGACCAGCCACAGUAGAGCUGAGAGACGGUCCAGACUCCGACGCUAGGCAUCAGUGGGGAAUAUUGCACAAUGGGCGCAAGCCUUAUGCAGCCAUGCCGCGUGUGUGAAGAGGGCCUUCGGGUGGUAAAGCACUUUCAGCGGUGAGGCGUUACCCGCAGAAUAAGCACCGGCUAACACCGUGCCAGCAGCCGGGGUAAUAC
rnacentral:rRNA from 1 species